UACGAAGGGGGCUAGCGUUGCUCGGAAUCACUGGGCGUAAAGGGUGCGUAGGCGGGUCUUUUUUAAGUCAGGGGUGAAAUCCUGGAGCUCAACUCCAGAACUGCCUUUGAUACUGGACGUCUGGAGUUCGGGAGAGGUGAGUGGAAUUCCGAGUGUAGAGGUGAAAUUCGUAGAUAUUCGGAGGAACACCAGAAGCGAAGGCGGCUCACUGGCCCGAGACUGACGCUGAGGCGCGAAAGCGUGGGGAGCAAACAGG
rnacentral:rRNA from 1 species